rnacentral:miRNA from 1 species
UCUUAUAAAUAGGACCGGAGGGAG